rnacentral:rRNA from 1 species
GCUUAACACAUGCAAGUCGAGCGAGAAUCGUUUAUUGAAGGCUUCGGCUGGAAAUAGAUGAGGAAAGCGGCGAACGGGUGAGUAACGCGUGGGCAACCUGGCCUUAAGAAAAGGAUAGCCCCCGGAAACGGGGAGUAAUACUUUAUGAGAAUGAAAGAGGGCAUCCUACUUUCAUUCAAAGCGCAAGCGCUUAAGGAUGGGCCCGCGUAUCAUUAGCUAGUUGGUGAGAUAACAGCCCACCAAGGCAACGAUGAUUAGCCGGUCUGAGAGGGCGAACGGCCACAUUGGAACUGAGAGACGGUCCAAACUCCUACGGGAGGCAGCAGUGGGGAAUAUUGCGCAAUGGAGAAGAACUCUGACGCAGCAAUACCGCGUGAGCGAAGAAGGUCUUCGGAUCGUAAAGCUCUGUUAUCAGGGAAGAAGAAGAUGACGGUACCUGAUGAGCAAGCCCCGGCUAAAUACGUGCCAGCCGCCGCCGUAA